rnacentral:rRNA from 1 species
CACGUAGGGCGCAAGCGUUGUCCGGAAUUAUUGGGCGUAAAGAGCUCGUAGGCGGUCUGUUGCGUCCGCUGUGAAAACUCGGGGCUUAACCCCGAGCCUGCAGUGGAUACGGGCAGACUAGAGGUAGGUAGGGGAGAAUGGAAUUCCGGGUGUAGCGGUGGAAUGCGUAGAGAUCCGGAAGAACACCGGUGGCGAAGGCGGCCUGCUGGGCAGUAGCUGACGCUGAUGCGCGACAGCGUGGGGAGCAAACAGG